GAUGAACGCUGGCGGCGUGCCUAACACAUGCAAGUCGAGCGAUCUUCUUCGGAAGAGAGCGGCGGACGGGUGAGUAACGCGUGGGUAACCUGCCCUGUACACACGGAUAACAUACCGAAGGUAUGCUAAUACGAGAUAAUAUGCUUUUGUCGCAUGGUAGAAGUAUCAAAGCUCCGGCGGUACAGGAUGGACCCGCGUCUGAUUAGCUAGUUGGUAAGGUAACGGCUUACCAAGGCGACGAUCAGUAGCCGACCUGAGAGGGUGAUCGGCCACAUUGGAACUGAGACACGGUCCAAACUCCUACGGGAGGCAGCAGUGGGGAAUAUUGCACAAUGGGCGAAAGCCUGAUGCAGCAACGCCGCGUGAGCGAUGAAGGCCUUCGGUCGUAAAGCUCUGUCCUCAAGGAAGAUAAUGACGGUACUUGAGGAGGAAGCCCCGGCUAACUACGUGCCAGCAGCCGCGGUAAU
rnacentral:rRNA from 1 species